rnacentral:misc_RNA from 1 species
AAGUCGUAACAAGGUUUCCGUAGGUGAACCUGCGGAAGGAUCAUUAUUGAAUAACUUGGUUGUUGAUGCUGGCCUUUGGGCAUGUGCUCGCGACUAUUUUAUAACCCUUAUCUUUUGUGAACCCUUUGUAGUUUGUGGAUUAGUUAGUAGAGUUGGCAACGACUCGAACGCUCUUCUACACUCUAUGUUUAUACAAACCAUAUAAAAAUUAUAAGAAUGUUUCUUGUUAUUGGCGCGAGUCAGUAAUAAACCUAAUACAACUUUCAACAACGGAUCUCUUGGGUCUC